ensembl:lncRNA
CUUAAUUUAACCUUUAAUAUUUUACAAAUGCUCACGUUUCUGUUUUACUGUUUCUGCUUUUCUUUAUUUUAAGUACAAACUGAACCAAGGCUCAGGGUUUUGAUGAACAGGAUGUGAACUAUUUGGAUUGUGAAAACAUUUUUACUGUUGAUUAUUCCUCAUAAUGAAAUAGAUUGAGUAGUUUCACUCCUGCAGUGGUAACAGUCUGACAUGGUGGAUGCUAGUCAGGAGAGAGGGGGGCACAAACUAUUGGAGCAUAUCAAGAAAACAGUAGAAGCCAUGACACAGUCCAUUAAAAUGGUGGAAAGGUUUAAUGAUGAUCUAAAACUCCAGAGCACCAUCGUUUUCGUCCAGCGUUCAUCUGCUUGUGUUCUUUCUUUGAGAUAGAGAUUUCCCUUGAACUGAGAACCAUAAGGGCUUUCAGUACUGGACUAUCUCUUACUUUUAGACGGAUAGUACUGUUGGUCCGUGACCUAGUGAACCAGUACCAGGACGUAUUGAUUGAUGAAGACUUCAAAGCACGUCUCUCCAGGGUUCCUGAUGUGAUCCCGAGCUCGGGUUACUGUCUGUGUGGAGUUCCAUAUGUUCUCCCGUGCCCGUGUGGAUAGACUACUGAUCCACCAGGAUAAAGUGCUUUUUGAAGAUUCAAGAGAGAGAAAAGGCGCGGCUGGUGAAGGAACGACGGUUUAUAGCUGCUGUAAUAACAGACCAAAAACAGCAUCUCCAGCUCCAUCUGUCAAAUCUGACCAGUCAAUGGAUCCACCUCAUAACUUCUAAACAUUUCAAAUCCCCUGAGUAUUAAACACAGAGAGUCAUACACCAGUCUACUGAUGAUGGAGCACUUGAGGUGUGGAGUGUGUAAAGAUAUGCUAAAGGAGCCUGUGUCUAUCCCUUGUGGACACGGUUUCUGUGAAACC